rnacentral:rRNA from 1 species
GGAGGGCAAGUCUGGUGCCAGCAGCCGCGGUAAUUCCAGCUCCAAUAGCGUAUAUUAAAGUUGUUGCAGUUAAAAAGCUCGUAGUUGAAUUUCGGGGUCAGUAGGUCGGUCGUGCCACUGGUAUGAACUGGUUUUACUGAUUCCUCCCUCUUGAAGAACUGUAAUGCCAUUAAUUUGAUGUUGCAGGGAAUCAGGACUGUUACUUUGAAAAAAUUAGAGUGUUUAAAGCAGGCUUUAGCUUGAAUACAUUAGCAUGGAAUAAUGAAAUAGGACGUUUGAUCCUAUUUUGUUGGUUUCUAGGAUUGACGUAAUGAUUAAUAGGGAUAGUUGGGGGCAUUAGUAUUCAAUUGUCAGAGGUGAAAUUCUUGGAUUUAUUGAAGACUAACUACUGCGAAAGCAUUUGCCAAGGAUGUUUUCAUUAAUCAAGAACGAAAGUUAGGGGAUCGAAGACGAUCAGAUACCGUCGUAGUCUUAACCAUAAACUAUGCCGACUAGGGAUCGGAUGAUGUUAAUUUUUUAAUGACUCAUUCGGCGCCUUACGGGAAAC